UGUUUCGGCAAGGGGGUCAUCCCGACUUACCAACCCGAUGCAAACUGCGAAUACCGGAGAAUGUUAUCACGGGAGACACACGGCGGGUGCUAACGUCCGUCGUGAAGAGGGAAACAACCCAGACCGCCAGCUAAGGUCCCAAAGUCAUGGUUAAGUGGGAAACGAUGUGGGAAGGCCCAGACAGCCAGGAUGUUGGCUUAGAAGCAGCCAUCAUUUAAAGAAAGCGUAAUAGCUCACUGGUCGAGUCGGCCUGCGCGGAAGAUGUAACGGGGCUAAACCAUGCACCGAAGCUGCGGCAGCGACACUAUGUGUUGUUGGGUAGGGGAGCGUUCUGUAAGCCUGCGAAGGUGUACUGUGAGGUAUGCUGGAGGUAUCAGAAGUGCGAAUGCUGACAUAAGUAACGAUAAAGCGGGUGAAAAGCCCGCUCGCCGGAAGACCAAGGGUUCCUGUCCAACGUUAAUCGGGGCAGGGUGAGUCGACCCCUAAGGCGAGGCCGAAAGGCGUAGUCGAUGGGAAACAGGUUAAUAUUCCUGUACUUGGUGUUACUGCGAAGGGGGGACGGAGAAGGCUAUGUUGGCCGGGCGACGGUUGUCCCGGUUUAAGCGUGUAGGCUGGUUUUCCAGGCAAAUCCGGAAAAUCAAGGCUGAGGCGUGAUGACGAGGCACUACGGUGCUGAAGCAACAAAUGCCCUGCUUCCAGGAAAAGCCUCUAAGCAUCAGGUAACAUCAAAUCGUACCCCAAACCGACACAGGUGGUCAGGUAGAGAAUACCAAGGCGCUUGAGAGAACUCGGGUGAAGGAACUAGGCAAAAUGGUGCCGUAACU
rnacentral:rRNA from 1 species